rnacentral:rRNA from 1 species
UACAGAGGAGCCAAGCGUUGUCCGGAUUGACUGGGCGUAAAGCGCACGCAGGCGGACGCGCGCGUGGGGUGUGAAAUCUGGCCGCUUAACGGCCAGGCGCCAUCCCAUACGGCGCGUCUGGAGUGAUGCAGAGGUCGGUGGAAUUGCCGGUGUAGUGGUGAAAUGCGUAGAGAUCGGCAGGAACACCCAGGGGGAAACCAGCCGACUGGGCAUCUACUGACGCUGAGGUGCGAGAGCGUGGG